UACGUAGGCAGCAAGCGUUGUUCGGAGUUACUGGGCGUAAAGAGUAUGUAGGCGGUUGCGUAAGUUCGGUGUGAAAUCUCCCGGCUUAACUGGGAGGGUGCGCCGAAAACUGCGUGGCUAGAGUGCGGGAGAGGAGAGCGGAAUUCCUGGUGUAGCGGUGAAAUGCGUAGAUAUCAGGAGGAACACCGGCGGUGUAGACGGCUCUCUGGACCGUUACUGACGCUGAGAUACGAAAGCGUGGGGAGCGAACAGG
rnacentral:rRNA from 1 species